UUGUUUGGGUGUCCAUUUUCCAUUGUCAGGCAGCAAAAGUGUGUGAUAGAGAAGAUGUUCAACCUGCCAGACAGACCAAGGAGGGCAGUGUCCCAGCAGCUGUGCAAGGCUCAGGUGGUGUGGAAAGUAUAACUGAUGAGCCCAGGACUUCCUCACUGCAAGGAAAAUGCGUGAGAAUUCACUACUCAUGGUACUUUAUUGAGCUCCCACUGCUCACCAGAUUCCCCAAACUGAGUAGUGGUGAAAAUAAUUUGUGAAAAGAUGCUGCUUGAUCCCAGUGGAUUUGACUCACUGUCUGCGUGUGUGCUUGGCAUGACAUCAGGACCAGCAGAGAAAUGGCUGGUGUUUGAACUGAUUGAACUUCCAAAUUUUACCUGCUUCACCCAAAUAUAUGUUCAGUGGUUUGGGAGAAGAGAGGUGGCCUUUGACACUGCAACAGUCACAGUUUUAUGAGGAAAUGUGAUGUUUAAGGAAGAAAAUACCAUCUUCUGUAUUUUAUACAUGUAUUUUUAUAUCUACAGGGACCUAAUGCAGUGCUUAUAUUAGUGUUUUACAUAGAAUAGCUUCAGAAACUAGGAAAAUUAGUUCUGUCUGGGACUGGUAAUAUUUUUAUAAAAUGAAAGUUAGAUAUGAAUGCUGAAUAAA